UGUAAUGUUAAGGAAACAAGCAUUGCUGAUUUUGAUUGGCUCCUUUUGAGAUGAAUGAGAAAAGAGUUUCAGUUUCUUUCCGCAUUCAGAACUCGGCUCUUAAAUUCUUAAUCACUCAAGAUUCUUCUUACACAAAACUCCUGGGACAGAACCAAGCGCUAGAAGACUUGCUGAAGCAAACACUAGACAGACGAUUAUAAAUGAACAAGUCAUCCGUCAUAAAACAACAAGGCAUCUCCAAGACUUGACAGAGAAUCAACAUCUGAACAACUGUAUGUAUAACUUUCAUUCCCUGCUCUAGACGCUUUAAUGACUUGUGCAAUUGAGGUUAUGAACUCUUUGUU
rnacentral:sRNA from 1 species